rnacentral:rRNA from 1 species
AUUGAACGCUGGCGGCAUGCCUUACACAUGCAAGUCGAACGGUAACGGGCCUUCGGGUGCCGACGAGUGGCGAACGGGUGAGUAAUACAUCGGAACGUGCCCGAUCGUGGGGGAUAACGAGGCGAAAGCUUUGCUAAUACCGCAUACGAUCUACGGAUGAAAGCAGGGGACCGCAAGGCCUUGCGCGGACGGAGCGGCCGAUGGCAGAUUAGGUAGUUGGUUGGAUAAAAGCUUACCAAGCCGACGAUCUGUAGCUGGUCUGAGAGGAUGAUCAGCCACACUGGGACUGAGACACGGCCCAGACUCCUACGGGAGGCAGCAGUGGGGAAUUUUGGACAAUGGGCGCAAGCCUGAUCCAGCCAUGCCGCGUGCAGGAUGAAGGCCUUCGGGUUGUAAACUGCUUUUGUACGGAAAGAAAAGCCUUCUUUUAAUACAGGAGGGUCAUGACGGUACCGUAAGAAUAAGCACCGGCUAACUACGUG